AACCUUCCACAAUGGGCGAAAGCCUGAUGGAGCAACGCCGCGUGAGCGAAGAAGGUUUUCGGAUCGUAAAACUCUGUGGUAAGGGAAGAACAAGUACAGUAGUAACUGGCUGUACCUUGACGGUACCUUAUUAGAAAGCCACGGCUAACUACGUGCCAGCAGCCGCGGUAAUACGGAGGUGGCAAGCGUUGUCCGAAAUUAUUUGGCGUAAAGCGAGGGCAGGCGAUCCUUUAAGUCAGAUGUGAAAGCCCACGGCUCAACCGUGGAGGGUCAUUGGAAACUGGGGGACUUGAGUGCAGAAGAGGAAAGUAGAAUUCCAAGUGUAGCGGUGAAAUGCGUAGAGAUUUGGAGGAACACCAGUGGCGAAGGCGACUUUCUGGUCUGUAACUGACGCUGAGGCGCGAAAGCGUGGGGAGCAAACAGG
rnacentral:rRNA from 1 species